rnacentral:rRNA from 1 species
UGACCUCAAAUCAGGUAGGACUACCCGCUGAACUUAAGCAUAUCAAUAAGCGGAGGAAAAGAAACUAACAAGGAUUCCCCUAGUAACUGCGAGUGAAGCGGGAAAAGCUCAAAUUUAAAAUCUGGCAGUCUUUGGCUGUCCGAGUUGUAAUCUAGAGAAGUGUUAUCCGCGCUGGACCGUGUACAAGUCUCCUGGAAUGGAGCGUCAUAGAGGGUGAGAAUCCCGUCUUUGACACGGACUACCAGGGCUUUGUGAUGCGCUCUCAAAGAGUCGAGUUGUUUGGGAAUGCAGCUCAAAAUGGGUGGUAAAUUCCAUCUAAAGCUAAAUAUUGGCGAGAGACCGAUAGCGAACAAGUACCGUGAGGGAAAGAUGAAAAGAACUUUGGAAAGAGAGUUAAACAGUACGUGAAAUUGCUGAAAGGGAAACGCUUGAAGUCAGUCGCGUUGUCCAGGGAUCAACCUUGCUUUUGCUUGGUGCACUUUCUGGUUGACGGGUCAGCAUCAAUUUUGACCAUUGGAAAAAGAUUGAGGGAAUGUGACAUCUUCGGAUGUGUUAUAGCCCUUGGUUGCAUACGAUGGUUGGGAUUGAGGAACUCAGCACGCCGCAAGGCCGGGUUUUUAACCACGUACGUGCUUAGGA